rnacentral:rRNA from 1 species
UACGUAGGUGGCAAGCGUUAUCCGGAAUUAUUGGGCGUAAAGAGCGCGCAGGUGGUUGAUUAAGUCUGAUGUGAAAGCCCACGGCUUAACCGUGGAGGGUCAUUGGAAACUGGUCGACUUGAGUGCAGAAGAGGGAAGUGGAAUUCCAUGUGUAGCGGUGAAAUGCGUAGAGAUAUGGAGGAACACCAGUGGCGAAGGCGGCUUCCUGGUCUGUUACUGACACUGAGGCGCGAAAGCGUGGGGAGCAAACAGGAUUAGAUA